rnacentral:rRNA from 1 species
AGUGAACGCUGGCGGCGUGCCUAAUACAUGCAAGUCGAACGGAGUGGCGCGCGGGUGAGUAAUGUAUAGCUAAUCUGCCCUACACUAGAGGACAACAGUUGGAAACGACUGCUAAUACUCUAUAGUGUAGGAUGAGGCUAUAUUGUAUCAGCUAGUUGGUGAGGUAAUGGCUCACCAAGGCUAUGACGCAUAACUGGUCUGAGAGGAUGAUCAGUCGAACUGGAACUGAGGCACGGUUCAGACACCUUCGGGAGUCAGCAGUAGGGAAUAUUGCUCAAUGGGGGAAACCCUGAAGCGCCUACGCGUCGUGGAGUAUUAUACUUUUCGGAGCGUAAACUCCUUUUGUUAGGGAAGCGGUACCUAACGAAUAAGCACCGGCUAACUCCGUGCCAGCAGCCGCGGUAAUAC